UAUAUAGAAUCCCUACAUCUAUAGAGUCUAGUUCUAUUACAUAGAUCAGUGACAUAGACUUUUCAAAACUUCUUUUUCAGUUACACUCUCAGUAACUCUCAUCAUUACAAUCAUUAUAACUUAGUUUUAGUACAAGAGAAAAUAAUUAUUAUAUCUAGAAUUUCUAGAUCUAGACUUGUAUCAUGACAUUCGUUUAGAUUUAAGACUAUAGAGACAGUGACUUUGAUGAUACUAAAGCGACUAGACAUUUUCAAGCUUAUCUUACCAAGUUUGAAAAUAUUUUACACAAGGCUUAAGUGGAAAUUUCUCAAAAGGUAGUGAUAAGGACAGAGGGAAAGCUUUAUUAAACCUCUUUUACCUAGAUAUUAAAGCAAUCUGAAUCCAAACAGGAAUCUGAAUCUAUAAAUGAAUCUUAACCUAAAUAAAGAUCAGAUUCAAGGAAAGAAUGCCUACAGAAUCCUAUAUGCUCUCAAAUAUAAUACUUGCCAAUAGGAUUUAGAAAGGUAUUUGGAUUUGAAGAAGAUUUUGAAUCAAGAAAAUAGUUUAAAACUGAAAGAAAGGAAUCUGAAUCCAUAGAAGCAUCAGAACUGUUGAAAGAUCCUCUUUCUAGAAAGGUAUCUCUGGCAAAUCAAGUAUUGAAACUUGAAAGCAAUCUGAAGCCAGAAAGCAAUCAGUACAAGUAGAAAUAUUUGAAACUAGAAAACAGUUUGAUUAAAAAAAGGACAAGAAUCAAGCAAGCUAAUCCUUUAGCAUAAAGAGACAUGAAUCUAGAAAGCAGUCUGAACCCCAAAUAGCUGGAAUCUGGAAAAGAAUCUGAAGGAAUUUAACAACCUGAAUCUAGAAAGGAAUCUGAUUUUUUUUUUUAAAGUAGAAAGCAACACACAAAAGCAUGUGAAUCUAGUGAUGAAUGUGAAUCAGACCAGUGAACCUGUGUCAGGGAUCCAGAAAAAAACAAAAACUGAAGCUAAAGAAAUACCUGAACAAAGAAAGCAAUCCAUCCUGAGCAAGGGUACAGAAUUAAAAAAAAAAAAAGAAUCCAAAUUCUAAAAAAAAAAAAAAUCCAAAUCUAAAAAAGAAAAAUAAAAAAAAA